rnacentral:lncRNA from 1 species
UGGAAAACUAUCCUACCUGGAAAGGGUGAGGAGUCAGACUGGUCUGAGAUGGCUCUGAAACUCUGUGUGCAUGGAGGCUGUCAGGACAACUUAGAAUUUUGAGGUUGUUUAUGACAUCAUGGUGAACAUGGCCCCCAAGGUGGCCGCAUGGUUACAGUCUGAGGAUUGGCCUAGGCUAGGCUGUUAAAGGGAGAGAUACCCAGAAAGAGGUUUGACAAACAGAAAGCAGGCACAGAAACUGGAAGAAAUAAAACAGACUCUGAUUCAAGGGAUAAGAAAGGAAACCUUGGCGAGAAGCUAGAAUAGAGGGACAAGCAGUGAGAGGAGAACAUUGUCAUCUAUUCAAGUCUAUGGGGGAGGCCAUGCUGAUUCAAGUUUGAAACUUGAUUGGAAACAAGAGGCCGGACUUUGGCCUUAUCAGACCUACGUUGUCUUUCCGCCUUAAGCAUAAUCCAAAGUCAAGAAUGAUGUCUUGAGGACAUUGAAGAGAAGAAUCGACGCCUCCUUUCCUAGGCGCCUAGCAUUCUUUGAAGAUCAGUCUCACUUUCCAUAGCUCUGGCGUCACAGGGGCCCACUGGGUACAUGCUAAUGUGUCCCAAGAGAUGUCUUGGAAGCCUUGAAGGAAUGGACCCCUGUCAUGCUUGGGGUAUGUCUCUUUGUUUGGAAGGGCUCUACAUGAGUGCUGAAAAUCCCCCUUUUCCAGAGGGCUUCGUUCCUUUGUGAAGGCUGCCCUCCCAGGCUAGAGUGCUCAGUUUGGCUCCAAUGAAAUUCUCUCCCCCUACCUCUUGCCGUAGAAGGAUUAUUGAUUAUGUGUUUUGACGCCAUAUGUAAGGAAGUUGGCUGAAAAUUAGAACAUUACAAUUCUGUUUCAAGAAAAAUAAAUAUGCCAGGGCUGAGGACGUAAGUCAAAGAAAUGGCACAGCCUAUAGAAAUAAAGUAAGCCCGUAUAUAGGCGGAGUCUAGGGGAACGUUCAAGGAUCAGGGGUCAAGUUCGAAACUUCCCAAAUCCAGAAAAGAGACAGAAAAAUAUCAUUCCUGGAGAGAGGAAUUCAUCAGAUUUUUCUAAUUUGUCCCGGAAACAUUAUGUCCAUGAAGUGGAUUUCCAGGGCCACCUCGAAUUUGGAGUUUCUGAUGUCUGGAUGUCAAACCAACCCAGAUGACCACGUGUUCUCAGUGCUUAGUUGAACCUAGGCUAGGAUAGCAAAGAUUCCUACAAAUGACCCGUUCAAAUUCAAAGACAAUAACCAAUAAUCACGAAAGCACUCACACCUGGGCCUAAAGAACAUACGGUGAUGAAAGACAUACAAAAUUAAUCACUUGCACUGAAGGAGAACGGGCUGAGAAGCAUAUCUAAGGGAGAUAGCUGAGAAAUACCAUGAUGAGUGUACUAUGGAAAUUAAAAAAAGGUCCCAGAAAAUGGAAGGCGAAGCGAAAUCACACCCGAAUAAUCCGCAAUGAAAGAUGUCAGUCUUUAGACAAACUCUGCUUGAAUGUUUGAAAGUCA